rnacentral:rRNA from 1 species
GCGGCACGCCUAACACAUGCAAGUCGAGCGAGAAAGUGACUUCGGUCGCGAGUAAAGCGGCGAACGGGUGAGUACAACGUGGAUAAUCUACCCUAGGGUCUGGGACAACCCCGAGAAAUCGGAGCUAAUACCGGAUAAGACCACAGUAUCCAAGGAUACAGUGGUAAAAGAUUUAUCGCCUUUGGAUGAGUCCACGUCCCAUCAGGUAGUUGGUAAGGUAAAAGCUUACCAAGCCUAAGACGGGUAGCCGGCCUUAGCGGGUGAACGGCCACAUGGGGACUGAGACACGGCCCUGACUCCUACGGGAGGCAGCAGUGGGGAAUAUUGGGCAAUGGGCGAAAGCCUGACCCAGCGAUGCCGCGUGAGGGAUGAAGGCCUUCGGGUUGUAAACCUCUGUCAGGAGGGACGAUGGGACACUUGUGUCUUGACGGUACCUCCAGAGGAAGCCCCGGCUAACUCCGUGCCAGCAGCCGCGGUAAUACGGAGGGGGCAAGCGUUGCUCGGAAUUACUGGGCGUAAAGGGUCCGCAGGCUGUCAGGCAAGUUGGUUGUGAAAGCUCAAGGCUUAACCUU